AAGUUAUGCAUGUAUUGAUCAUGUUUAAUAAUAUUUAACCAGCAGUAGUUGUAUGUAGUUUAUUAUUUAAUCGGAUAAAUAAACAACCUUGAACAUGUAAAUUGAGUGAGAGGAAUGAACGUGAAGACUAAUUUUCAAUGCCAUUCAUUAAAUUAUGAUGUCAGAUAUUAUAUAGAAUUUUAAUUUAUGGCGAGAUUUAUGCCAUCAUUUAUCAUCAUAUGAAUGGUUCUUGUGUCACUUAUCAAUAAAAGCAUGAACUUUGCAAAUAGGCAAAAUAUUUUGUAACUGAAAAAUUAUUUCAAAAUAUUCAGGAAAUUAGAAUUAUAAUGUGUGUUAUCACAACCUAAAGGUCUGGAAUUUGGUUAAAAAGGCGAAAUUUUUAUCAAGACACACACUAGUACCUUUUGACCCCUGGAAAUACGUAUUCUUAAAAAAAUUGCCAUGUCGUCGCUGAAGAUUUGCCUCUUGAUUGUUGGACUAGUCGUAAUUUUCGCCUUUUCGGUUCAGGGUCUUCCCAUCAACGAGGACGACGGCGUCAAUAUCCUCCCUGCCAAAGCGGAGUCAGAAUCAAGGUCGCAGGACCAUGUCGGCAAAAAGGAGACCAAGCACUUUUUUGGAGGAGCUCCAUAUUAUGGGGGAGGAGGCUGGGGAUAUGACUAUUAUUACUAUUAGAGGAAAAUAAUCAGAAAUAUUCAUUCCGAAAUAGAGGAUACAAACAUCGCAAAAUCGUAAAAAUAUAUAUAUUUAUUUCUACCCAAAACGAUUUCUCAUCUAAAUUAAGAAGUUUUUUUGUUUGAUUACGUAUCACAAUAAUUUGUAAAUAUGUUUUAAAUUUGUUAUCAAUUUGGUCUUUUAAUAAAUCGUAAAAUAUUUCUGCUCA